GACGAACGCUGGCGGCGUGCCUAAUACAUGCAAGUCGAACGCAGUGGGGACGGGUGAGUAACACGUGGGUAACCUCCCAUCAGAGGGGAUAACACUUGGAAACAGGUGCUAAACCGAUACUGAUGGAUGGUCCCGCGGUGCAUUAGCUAGUUGGUGAGUUAACGGCUCACCAAGGCGACGAUGCAUAGCCGGACUGUGAGGGUGAUCAGCCACACUGGGACUGAGACACGGCCCAGACGCCUACGGGAGGCAGCAGUAGGGAAUCGUCGGCAAUGGACGAAAGUCUGAGCGAGAAACGCCGCGUGAUUGAAGAAGGUUUUCGGAGCGUAAAACGCUGUUGUUAGAGAAGCGGUAUCUAACGAGAAAGCCACGGCUAACUACGUGCCUGCAGCCGCGGUAAUAC
rnacentral:rRNA from 1 species